rnacentral:ncRNA from 1 species
GGGCGGUAUUCUGGAGAGACUCGCCACGCCCUUGGGGCGGCCGCGCGGGCGCCGAAGGUGAAUGCUCGCUUUGCGCGAGCCAACUCUCAGGCAAAAGGACAGAAGGGCGACA